GGUUGGAUUGGAUUUUGCCCACCCCUACUUAGAUCUAUCAAGUAAGAAAUAGAAAAACCUUCUCAAAAAGUUACAAACUGCAUCGAUGCCAAGGAUGAAUGAAUUGCUCUUGUGGCUUGGCUUCCAUGGCUGAAUUUUUCUCUCAGUCUAUCCUGCCUCCUCAGUGCUCCCUCUCUGUAUCCAAUUGUUUAUUGGGUUUGAGAAGCCAUUAUAAAUAGGCGAAAGAGAGAAAAGGUCGAACAAAAUCUUGGCAACGGUAAUAUUUGUUGAAACACCAUCUGGUCCCAUUUUGAAGCAGGCUGCGUCCGUGCCAGUGUUACCGCAACCACCAAGUCAUUCUGCAGUUGUUGGUGACUGUGGCAUUUUUAUAUUCAAAUCCAUGUAAUUUUUACAUGUUGUAUUGCCCAUGAACUUCAGACAAGACGACAUAGUAUUUUUUAGAAGAAAGUAUGCUCACGAGGCGUAUAACAAGGAACUAAAUAUAUGAGUUAGAUGGUAGAUUGAUGGAUAAUAUAACAUCUUCUUAACUGUUAUAUUUUUGUAACUUAAUUAUUGUUUUGUUACUUCAUCAUAUUCAUAUCCUUUUGAAUGUAAAGAUAAUGAUGGGUUUUCAUGUUCA